rnacentral:rRNA from 1 species
CGGUAAUACGGAGGGUGCAAGCGUUAAUCGGAAUUACUGGGCGUAAAGCGCACGCAGGCGGUCUGUCAAGUCRGAUGUGAAAUCCCCGGGCUCAACCUGGGAACUGCAUUUGAAACUGGCAAGCUWGAGUCUUGUAGAGGGGGGUAGAAUUCCAGGUGUAGCGGUGAAAUGCGUAGAGAUCUGGAGGAAUACCGGUGGCGAAGGCGGCCCCCUGGACAAAGACUGACGCUCAGGUGCGAAAGCGUGGGGAGCAAACAGGAUUA